CGCAAGCUUGUUAUUUGGGGGUUUGUGAAAUGUCAUCCUCCAUCCUAAACAUCACUUUGCUUCCAGCAUUUAUAAUGGUGUUGAAUAUACAAAAAGUGUUUUUAAUUUAUAAGAGGUGGGUCACACUCAGAAGCUUUCUAUGUAAAAGGGAUCACCAGUACAAAUGGUUGAGAACCACUGGUGUAGUGAUAGUUCUUGCUUGCCUUUAUUAGCUUGCAGAGGAAUUGUCCAGGAGUCUCAGCUGGAGAAGAAGCUGGCAGAAGUGGACCUGAACUGCCUGGACAUCCUUCUAAGGAGACAUGAACAGUCCUCAGCUUUCUGCAUUCUGGAUAACUGGCUAUGAUUUGCAGAGGAAUCGUCCAGGAGCCCCACCCGGAUGAGAAUGUCAGAAGUGGACCUGAGUAGUCUGGACAUCCUUCUAAGGAAACAAGAAUAGAACCAAGCAAAAAGACGUUACAUGUCAAAGUCUACUGCCCUUAUGAAUGAGAGUGACGAGACUGCGAGCGUUGUUGGUGCCAGGCAGGAGCCGUCCAUCUGGGAGCAGAACAGCUGCUACUAUCACUGAGAUAAGUAUCUGUUUUGCUGAGGGUUCUGCUCAUGGCCCACCUGGCUACAGGUAGAGACACCCCGUUAGGUUGGGCUGGGUUUGUAAGAAAAGGUUCCUGACUAGCUGUGGUUUUGAAGGAGACACGGGCCCCAUUUUCAGGGGCUCAUGAUUUCUCUGGCCAGGAUCGGUGUGUCCUCGGCAGGACAAGGUUAGAUCUAUGAGGAUGACUCC